AAUCAACGCUGGCGGCGUGCCUAACACAUGCAAGUCGAACGCGAAAGUCCCGCAAGGGAUUAGUAGAGUGGCAAACGGGUGAGUAACGCGUGGGCGACCUACCUUCGAGUGGGGGAUAACCUUCCGAAAGGAGGGCUAAUACCGCAUGACAUCCCGUGUUUGGAUACACGGACAUCAAAGUCGGGGAUCGCAAGACCUGACGCUUGGAGAGGGGCCCGCGUCCGAUUAGCUAGUUGGUGGGGUAACGGCUCACCAAGGCUCCGAUCGGUA
rnacentral:rRNA from 1 species